rnacentral:rRNA from 1 species
UGUAGCUAAUACCGUAUAUUCCAGUAAUGGGAAAGAUUUAUCGCUAUAAGAUUGGCCCGCGCAAGAUUAGCUUGUUGGUGAGGUAAAAGCUCACCAAGGCUUCGAUCUUUAGCUGGUUUGAGAGGAUGAUCAGCCACACUGGGACUGAGACACGGCCCAGACUCCUACGGGAGGCAGCAGUAGGGAAUAUUGGACAAUGGGGGCAACCCUGAUCCAGCAAUGCAGCGUGAGUGACGAAGGCCUUAGGGUUGUAAAACUCUUUCAUCGGUGAGGAUAAUGACAGUAGCCGAAGAAGAAGGACCGGCUAAUUCCGUGCCAGCAGCCGCGGUAAUACGGAAGGUCCUAGCGUUGUUCGGAAUUACUGGGCGUAAAGCGCAUGUAGGCGGAACAGAAAGUUAGAAGUGAAAUCCCUGGGCUCAACCUAGGAAUUGCUUUUAAAACUUCUGUUCUGGAAUUCAGGAGAGGAAAAUGGAAUUUCCAGUGUAGAGGUGAAAUUCGUAGAUAUUGGAAGGAACACCAGUGGCGAAGGCGAUUUUCUGGACUGAUAUUGACGCUGAGAUGCGAAGGCAUGGGUAGCAAACGGGAUUAGAUACCCCGGUAGUCCAUGCAGUAAACGAUGGGUGCUAGUCGUCGGACUUUUGUUCGGUGUCGUAGCUAACGCGUUAAGCACCCCGCCUGGGGAGUACGGUCGCAAGAUUAAAACUCAAAUAAAUUGACGGGGACCCGCACAAGCAGUGGAGCAUGUGGUUUAAUUCGACGCAACGCGAAGAACCUUACCAGCGUUUGACAUGGAAAGUACCGGUUACAGAAUGGUAACCUUCAGUUCGGCUGGCUUUCGCACAGGUGCUGCAUGGCUGUCGUCAGCUCGUGUCGUGAGAUGU